GUGACAACAAAGGCAUUCUAUUCUAUAUAAGCGUAUGCUUACUUUAUAUAUGGAUGUCUUGUAACAUUUUAACUCAUUUUAUUCCUUCUUUUGUUUUAACUACAUUGUCCCUCUGUUCAACAAUUUGGCCUUGAUGUCUUUUAAGUAAAUUAAUGGUCACAGAUCUGGGAACAAUCACUGAGUGACUUACUGGUUAUGUUUUAAAUUCCAAAAAUGAAUUGGGACUCUGAGAGGCAGAACAAACAAUCAAACAAUCUGAAAGUAUACUUCUGCUAAAAAUCAUGAUGUGUUGGUUGAAUAUACAGCGUCCUCCAUAAUGUUUUUAAGAUUGUAUUUUUUUUUUUCUCUGUACACCAGCCAGCACGGUCGAUUUGCGUAAUGUUUGUUUUUUUUUUUUUUUUUCGUGAACGGGAAACUGCUUAAAGAAGCAUAUGAUCAGUUUGUCCAAUCGUGGUUUAAAUAAAGUUCUUUGAAAAAAAUUCCGCCAAAAAGUACGUCCACGACGUAAGUACGCGCCACAGUCAGCCAAUAAGCGUUCAGAGUCUUUCUAAAAGGCGCGAAAUUCGAGAAAAAUUCAGCUAGGACGAGGAAGUCGGGGGAGGAGCGUUGUCAUGUGUUCGUGUAACAUGGAGGGAGAGUUGUUCUUCAGCGUGCACUGGUAACCAAAGACAAACUGAAAAAGCAAAAGGGGCAGGAUGGUUUCAGCACAACUGGAGCUCCUCUCAACACGACGGUGGAGAAAGUCGGUCCACGUGGUGACAUGAUGCUUAUCAUUGGGAUUGCUCUUUCUUGCGGCGUCGGUCUUCUCUUGAUUGUUCUGGGAUUGCUUGGAAAGCUCGAGGGCUUUGUGAGACGGUGCAGAGGAUGGAUCCAGCCACCAAAUGAUGAUCGCACUGAAAAUUAAACCAUCUUAUGAAAUUUAGCAGAAUGCAGUGAUUAACAAAUCUCAUGUGCUGUCCAUAAGAUGUGGGUUUAUUAUAGAAUGUGUGUCAAAUGUUUAAACUUUAAAAAAUUGUUUUGUGUGUAAGGAAAACACAAGCUCUUAGCUGUAAAUGAGGUUUUACAUGUGAACACAAUGAGUCUAGAACACGACGACAAAGUGAUGCCAGAGUUUCCUCUCAGAUGAGUUUGAAUCUCUGACCUUGUCCUUAACCUCCUAAGACCCAAACUCUCAUUUCAUGAAUUUGUAAUUUGUCUUUGUUAUUUGGACUGAGACCUGGUGAAUGUAAAAACAAACCUGAUGUAGUUUCUGAGAAUCUGAUAUCAGGCUUUGUACAGCAAAAUUGAGGAACUGUAGCCUAGACGACCCAAAAUAAUCAUGUUGACAUAUGUGGGAGGUUAAGGUCAGAGUUCAAAUUUUCUGAAAACUUGAACUCGCAUGUCACCUAUGAUUUUCAUAUUGCUAUCACAUCUAUCUGUCCUACAUUUUGCUGCUUCCAUCAAAGUCAAAAUGAGCUAAUGUUGUUCUGAAAAUGACACUUUCUCAGUUUAAACUUCUGUUUGUGUUCUGCUGUGAAUGUAAUGUGGGUUCAUUGGAUUUGCACAUAUAUUUUGUACAUUGAAACUUUGCGAGGCUGGCCGUGUGUGUGUGUGUGUGUGUGUGUGUGUGUGUGUGUGUGUGUGUGUGUGUGUGUGUGUG
ensembl:lncRNA